UCGAGAAUCUUCCGCAAUGGACGCAAGUCUGACGGAGCAAUGCCGCGUGCGGGAUGAAGGCCUUCGGGUUGUAAACCGCUGUCAGUGGGGUGGAAAUGCAUGGGGGUUAUCCCCUGUGUUUGACCUAACCGCAGAGGAAGUCCGGGCUAAGUACGUGCCAGCAGCCGCGGUAACACGUACCGGACAAACGUUAUUCGGAAUCACUGGGCUUAAAGAGUGCGUAGGCGGCCUUGUAGGUGAGAUGUGAAAUCCCACGGCUCAACCGUGGAACUGCGUUUCAAACCACAAGGCUUGAGGGAGACAGGGGUGAGCGGAACUGAUGGUGGAGCGGUGAAAUGCGUUGAUAUCAUCAGGAACACCGGUGGCGAAGGCGGCUCACUGGGUCUCUUCUGACGCUGAGGCACGAAAGCUAGGGUAGCGAACGGGAUUAGAUACCCCCGUAGUCC
rnacentral:rRNA from 1 species